GGAAGGUAUCGUGAACGUCGGCUGCAGCAGUGUUUUCGUGUGUGAGACAGCGGAGACAGAGUGGGGGCCGGCCUGGAAUCAAUACAAGGCUCUGCACUCCACAAACGUGUAGCAGAUGUGGAACGUCGCCCACGCCGACUUCAUCGGCAAGAGUCAACACCACGUCACGAUUUAGGGUCAAUAACGUUCCGAAGGGCGUCCCUGAAGUUUUGGGCUCUGUACGGUCGACCACUUGUCAGCAUGCAGGAAAAUGGAGUCCACAACCAGCUUACCCGUAGGAAGACGA